AUGUGAUUGUAGUGGUUGUGGCAGGAUGAGGAUUUAAAAACAAAAUCACUUGUUUUUGUAUUUCAUAGGUGUUCAGAACAAGAAGAGUUUUAUCUGGUCCUGAUAUCAACAUUUUCCCCAUUACCUCUUGAUGCGUUGACUACAAGUUCACCCAAAGAUCCUAGACCUUGACUUGAUGCUUUGACUUGAUGGAACUUGGGGUAGCCUUCCCUGAAAAAGUGGAGAAGGGAUUGGGAAGUUCUGACACAUGGUGUACUAUUGGCAUGAAAAAACCUAGAAUGGAGAAGUGGUCUGAGAAGUAAGGAAAAGCAUAAAGCAGAAUGGGACACUGAAAAGAAGAAAGAAAGAAUCGUGAAGCAAAAGCUGCUCAUUGUACUUUGGUUUAAAACCUACCUCUCCUAGAAGUUUUUGAUAGGACUCAGCUCAUCAAUCUUUGCAAUAGCCCCAAAGUGGAAGUUAAUAGUUGUGCAAAAGAAAACACAUUAGAGAAUAUUAAAGCCUCUGCCUGGAAGAAUGAGUGCAGAGGAAAGAGGAAGCUGGACAAGGGAAGAAAGCAUUGGAGCCUGGGCCCUUCCAGAGGAAACAGAGUCAUCCUAGUAGGAGAUUGUAAUGGAAUGCUUCAGCUUGUCAGAGGUUUCCAGGAAUCUUCUGCACAAGGAACAGGAGAACCAGUGGAUAGUAUAGACCCUCAGUGAGUAAUGAGAGAAGGUUAUGUUUUACUUUGCAAUUUUUUCCAGAGCCUUUAUCUUGAGUAGCUUCCAUGUGAUUAGCAGUGUAGCAAGUGGUUCAGCAUUUGGUGGAGAAGUAUUAAAAAAAAAAUGAAGCCAGAGGCUGGCUGUGGUGCCUCACACCUGUAAUCCUAGCACUUUGGGAGGCUGAGGCAGGCACAUCGCUUGAGCUCAGAAGUUCGAGACCAGCCUGGGAAACAGUGAGACCCCAUCUCUAGAAAAAUACAAAAAUUAGCCAGGUGUGCUGGUGCAUGCCUGUAGUUCCAGCUGCUCGGGAGGAUGAGGUGGGAACAUCAUUUGAGCCCAAGAGGUUGAGGCUGCAGUGAGCCGAAAUUGUGCCACUGUACUCUAGCCUGCAUCGAUAAAGUGAGACCCUGUCUCAAAAAAAAAAAAAAAAAUUGGAGCCAGAAUAUGUGGGUUUAAGAUCUAGCUCUGCCACUUUUUAGCUGUGUGACCUUCACCAUGCUAUUACAUGUCUCUGAGUGUCAAUUUUCUCAUUUGUAAUAAUUGGAAUAUCGUCUAUCUCAUAACUCCUACUUCAGAUGGUUGCUCAGAUACAUUUCAAAUAAAAUGAAACAAUCAUUAUUUCUCAAUCUUUCCUAAUAAUAAGAAUUGCCUGGGGUUUCUGUCAAACAUGAAGAUUAUAAAGUAUUUACCCUGAGGAAGUCCGAUUUAGCCGAUUCUGUUUGAUGAGCAGAAUUUAUGCUUUUAACAAUAACCAAGAUUUUUUUUUUUUCUUCAGGCAAGUGUAGAGGACAGUGAAAUGAUAGUGCUAUGUUAUGGUAAUGGUAAUGGCAGUGGUAAUGUUAGUUAAUAUUGUGAGAAC
ensembl:lncRNA